rnacentral:rRNA from 1 species
CUACAUGAAGUCGGAAUCGCUAGUAAUCGCGGAUCAGCAUGCCGCGGUGAAUACGUUCCCGGGCCUUGUACACACCGCCCGUCACACCAUGAGAGUCUGUAACACCCAAAGCCGGUGGGAUAACCUUUAUAGGAGUCAGCCGUCUAAGGUAGGACAGAUGAUUAGGGUGAAGUCGUAACAAGGUACC